CCUACGGGAGGCAGCAGUGGGGAAUUUUGGACAAUGGGGGAAACCCUGAUCCAGCCAUUCCGCGUGAGUGAAGAAGGCCUUCGGGUUGUAAAGCUCUUUCGGCAGGAACGAAACGGCGGACUCUAACAUAGUCUGUCAAUGACGGUACCUGAAGAAGAAGCCCCGGCCAACUACGUGCCAGCAGCCGCGGUAAGACGUAGGGGGCAAGCGUUGUCCGGAAUUACUGGGCGUAAAGAGCGCGUAGGCGGUUUAGUAAGUCAGAUGUAAAAGUCUUGGGCUAAACCUGAGAAUUGCAUCUGAAACUGAUAGACUAGAGCCCAAUAGAGGAGAGUGGAAUUCCCGGUGUAGCGGUGAAAUGCGCAGAUAUCGGGAGGAACACCAGGGGCGAAGGCGGCUCUCGGGAUUGCGACUGACGCUGAGGCGCGAAAGCAAGGGGAGCAAACAGGAUUAGAUCCCCUGGUAGU
rnacentral:rRNA from 1 species